UGGACAUGUUGACGCAGGCGCAUGCAAAUGUUUCUGGACCCUCCAUCUCAGCCGCGCCGGGCGGCCAGAAGAGAGUCUGGGACUGAACUACGAUCUACGUUACUUGACUUAUUUACCAUUUUGCCAUCUGUUGUAAAUUAGGUCCGGUUUUGACAGCGAACUUUUCAUGCGCCGAAUCUAAUUGUCGUAGAUACGGCAAAAUAUAGGAAACUGAUUUAGACGUCGAACUUAAUUGUACUGUACCAAACUGCGAGGACACUAUAUUUGAUAUAUUUACAAUG